AUGGUCACCGAGUCGUGCGGGUGAGAUCCUGCGUUCAGGUUCGAGCAUCGCGCAGCGUUGCCCGCAGGGUGAGGCCACAGGCCGAAUCAAUCCUGCACGGCCCACCC
rnacentral:sRNA from 1 species